CCUACGGGCGGCAGCAGUAGGGAAUAUUGCUCAAUGGGGGAAACCCUGAAGCAGCAACGCCGCGUGGAGGAUGAAGGUUUUCGGAUUGUAAACUCCUUUUUUUAGAGAAGAUACUGACGGUAUCUAACGAAUAAGCACCGGCUAACUCCGUGCCAGCAGCCGCGGUAAUACGGAGGGUGCAAGCGUUACUCGGAAUCACUGGGCGUAAAGGGCGCGUAGGCGGGAUAGCAAGUCAGAUGUGAAAUCCUAUGGCUUAACCAUAGAACUGCAUUUGAAACUGUUAUUCUAGAGUAUGGGAGAGGUAGGUGGAAUGCUUGGUGUAGGGGUAAAAUCCGUAGAGAUCAAGAGGAAUACUCAUUGCGAAGGCGACCUGCUAGAACAUAACUGACGCUGAUGCGCGAAAGCGUGGGGAGCAAACAGGAUUAGAUACCCGGGUAGUC
rnacentral:rRNA from 1 species